rnacentral:rRNA from 1 species
GAGCGGCGUACGGGUGCGUAACACGUGUGCAACCUACCUUUAUCAGGGGAAUAGCCUUUCGAAAGGAAGAUUAAUACUCCAUAAUAUAUGAACAGGCAUCUGCUUAUAUUGAAAACUCCGGUGGAUAGAGAUGGGCACGCGCAAGAUUAGAUAGUUGGUGAGGUAACGGCUCACCAAGUCAUUGAUCUUUAGGGGUCCUGAGAGGGAGAUCCCCCACACUGGUACUGAGACACGGACCAGACUCCUACGGGAGGCAGCAGUGAGGAAUAUUGGACAAUGGGUGAGAGCCUGAUCCAGCCAUCCCGCGUGAAGGAUGACGGUCCUACGGAUUGUAAACUUCUUUUGUACAGGGAUAAACCCAGAUACGUGUAUCUGGCUGAAGGUACUGUACGAAUAAGCACCGGCUAACUCCGUGCCAGCAGCCGCGGUAAUACGGAGGGUGCAAGCGUUAUCCGGAUUUAUUGGGUUUAAAGGGUCCGCAGGCGGACCAAUAAGUCAGUGGUGAAAUCUCAUAGCUUAACUAUGAAACUGCCGUUGAUACUGUUGGUCUUGAGUAAAUUAGAGGUAGCUGGAAUAAGUAGUGUAGCGGUGAAA